UGUAGACUAAGCUGACCCGGAACUCACAGAGAUCCAUUUCCCUCUAACUCCUGAGCACUGUGCACUACUACUCCUGGCUCUAUGUGUGACUUUUAAACAUUUCUGUCUGUGUGUGUGCACAUGUAGGGAGGUCAGAGGCCAACUUUAGGAGUCAGUUCUCUCCUACCACCAUGUGGGUUGCAGGGAUAAAACUCAGGAGGUCAGGCUUGGUGGCUAGUGCCUUUACCUGCUGAGCUGUCUCAAUGAUCCUCAAGGUGACAAUAUUAACUAUUAACAAAGUCUCCUGUAGCCCAGACUAGCCUCAAACUCCCGGCAUAGCUGAAGAUGACCUUGAACUCCUGAUCCUCUUGCCUCUACCCCCAAAUUCAGGGAUCACAGGUGGGAACUACCAUGCCCAAUCUUAGGAGUGAAUUUGUUUUUCCUACAUGGAGUCUUUUCACUACAUAGUGUAGUUGACCUGGAACUUGCUAUAUAGAUCAGGCUGACUUCGAACUUCCUCUCCAGUGCUAGGACUAUAGGAGGGUGCCACCAUACCUGGACCUUGGGGAUGGAUUUUUUUUAAGGUCCCUGGUUUUUGUUGUUGUUUGUUUUGUUUUGUUUUAAUUACUAACACAGUUUGCCCUGGGGAAAGAUUUUAGAUUUUAGUUCCUACAUCUUUGCUCAGUUAGACACCAUUGUUCGGGCCUCAAACUGUCAGAGCAUAAAACUGAAGUUCUGAGAUCCCUUCCUAGCAUUUAUCCUUUAGAAGUCUUGCCUAAUUCUCGGUAGUAAUUACAUUCCUGUCCAUCUCCUCCAGCAGACUGGAGCCUGGGAGUACAAUACACUAGUCAUGUUGAAGAUAACAGACCUGACCUGACAGUGGUUGCCAGGUGAAGCAAUGUUUGGCUCUUUUAAGCCAUCAAGCCACUUCGCUGCCUCCUCUUCCUAAGCAAGACAAAAUAAAACCGAUCUUCAUUCAGAAGAGUGGUGCCGAUGGAAAGUGAGCCCGGAUAGUGUCUGCUUAUCUCCAGCGGAUCCCAAGCUGAAUGCCAGGGCUGGGGCCCCGACUGGUGCCACACACCUGAGAAGAGCUGGACUUCUAAUGAUGUCCCUGGCGGCUUCGUUGACCGUGGGAAAGCGGGUGCACAAUGGAGGAGCGCUGGGUUGGUUAUCAAGAGGAGAAAAGGGGCUCUCCUGGGGACCUUCGGUGAAGCACUGAUAACAGGGCUGCUCACAAUGUAUGCUGGACCAUAUUAAGCCCUGAGGUGAUCACAAAAGAAGUUUGCCUGGGACCCAUCUGUCUCCUGCUGCUGUCCACAAGAUGGAGAAGGCGGAAGCAACCUGAGGAGCCGUCUUUGUCUGUAAGGAUAGAAGGUCCAUUGUGGAGGGGAGAGAUACAGGAACUAUAUAGGCGAGGCCCUACCAGCCCCGCAUUUCUUAUCUCCAGAAUUCUUUUACAGAAAAGAAAAAUAAACUUUUAUCUGGUUUAAGCCACUACUGUUUCUAGGCUCUGUUACUAGCUGCCAAAUGCAUGUGUUAACUGAUAGAGAAGUCCUUGAUGCAUUUUGAGCAAGGGGGACGGGAUUCUGCCCUUUUGGUGGAUCUGCAGGGGUGGAUUUUGGGGAGUGGAGCAUCCUGGAGAGCACCAGGAAGUAAAGAUGGCUUGGCAGGUGGGGCAGACAGUGAGAAUACACCUCACAAGGGUCACUGAUUUUCUUUUCCCCCAGGACACCUCUGCUGAAGUGCUGUUAUACAGUGGCUAUUUAAAUGUCUAUUGAUGGAGUAACUUGAAGUCCGCUAUUGUCAACUGGCCUCAAAGCUGGGCCAUUGAGUAGAUGGGUGCUCUUUGUGGCUAAAAAAGCAGCAGGUGAAGAAUGGCGCAGGAAAGGGGUAUCAGCAUUACAGGAAAGUCAAGUGAACUCCCUGGAGGGAUCUCCAAGGAAAGCAAGUUUUGUUAUAUGUGACUGUCUAAUGAAGAUACAUUCGAAGUCUGAUGAAGAUUGUUUUAACUAGGUAGCAAAUGUAAAUAAUGUCCAAAAUGUAUACCCUGCUGUAACUUCUAAAAUGAAUUCACAUGCUACAGAUUUCUAAAAAGGGGACCAUGAAUUUUACUAGCUUUAAGGUGCAUGUAACUCAUUGAGAAUGGCUAUCUCUUCAUCAUUACCUCAUCAUUGUGAGGUUAGGAAGGAUUCCACAUUUUACAUUAGACAUUUACUGUUUACACGGACUAUAAAAUAUGACCUGUCUCAAGUAAAUUACACAUAAAGGUUUAUUCUUAAUUGUAAAUACCCAGCCUGAGAUUGGCUGGUUUCUAGCCAGGUUUCCUUAAUUUUAAAUUAUCCUGUCUACCUUUUGCCUCUGGGCUUUUUCCUUUCUCUGUUUCUGUGUAUCUUACUUUCACUCUUACUCUGUGGCUGGCUAUGUGACUGGCCACCCUCCUCUCCUUGUUCUCUUGCUCUUCUUUUUUCUCUCAGAUUUUUCCUUCUAUUUAUUCUCUCUGCCUCCCAGCCCCACUUAUCCUUUCUCCUGCCUUGCUAUUGGCUGUUCAGCUCUUUAUUAGACCAUCAGGUGUUUUAGACAGGCACAGUAACACAGCUUCACAGAGUUAAACAAAUGAAACAUAAAAGAAUGCAACACAUCUUUGCAUCAUUAAACAAAUGUUCCACAGCACAAACAAAUGUAACACAUCUUAAAAUAAUAUUCUACAACAAUUACCAAGCUCUGGUUCUAGCUCAUUCUUUGAGCCUAGCACUUGGAAGACUGAGGCAGGAAGAUGGCUGCUAUGGAAUAAUUCUUCUGUACAUUCUGUGAAUAUGUCACUAUGAUUGGUUUAAUAAACAUGCUGACUGGCCAAUAGCUGAACACGAUAAAGUUAGGCGUGAAAGCCAAACUGAGAAUGAUGGGAUGAGGAAAGGCAGAAUCAGAGGAGUCUCCAGCCAGAUGCAGAGGGAGCAGGAGAUGAAUGUACCAUGCUAAUAAAGGUAGAAUGUAAAUAAGGAAUAUGGGUUAACUUAAAAUGUAAGAGCUAGGGGCUGGAGAGAUGGCUCAGAGGUUAAGAGCACUGGCUGUUCUUCCAGAGGUCCUGAGUUCAAUUCCCAGCAACCACAUGGUGGCUCACAACCACUUGUAAUGAGAUCUGAUGCCCUCUUCUGGCCUGCAGGCCUACACGCAGGCAGAACAUUGUUGUAUGCAUAAUAAAUAAAUAAAUCUUAAAAAAAAAAAUGUAAGAGCUAGUUAGUAAUAAGCUUGAGCUAUCGGCCGAGCAUUUACAAUUAAUAUGUCUCUGUGUGCUUAUAUUGAUAAUUUAUUAAUUAUUUGGAAGCAAUUCUCAAGACAGGAAAACUCCACCUACAGAUGGCUGUGAGUUUAAGGUCAGCAUGGGUGAUGUAGUGAGUUCUAGUGGCCUGGCUACAGUAUUAGACUCUCCUCUCAAAAGAUACAAAAAACAAGUUCUGUUCCACAGCUCACGUGGUAAAGCAGCACAGAGGUUAGCUUGGCCCUGUGUAUUUUUACCAUCUUUUCCUGCUGUGUCCUAACCAGUAAGAAGCCUGAGUCCAGGGCCAGUGAGAUGGCUCAUCAGACAAAAAUGCUUUCCACUCCAGAUCGAUAACCCGAGUCUGAUCCUGGAACUGACUCCUGAGGAUUAUCUUCUGCCUGCUUCAUUUGUACCUUGGCACCUAUAUGUCUGGACAAACACACACCACAUGUUUCUCUCUCUUUCUCUCUCUCACAUACAUAUGCAACAACUACUACUAUUACUACUACUACUACUACUACUACUAAAUUAAAUUAAAAAAUAAAUCUUAAUUCCAAGGCAUAUAUCUCUUGUGAACUAAAUGUGCUAGCUUACUAUUCCAUCUUUUUGUUUUCUUAAAACCUGAGUUGGGGGCUGGAAAGAUGAGUCAGAAGUUAAGAGCACAGGCUACUCUUCUGGAAGACCCAGGUUUGAUUCCCAGCACCCAGGAGGCAGUUCACAACCAUCUAUAACUCCAGUUCCAGCCCUCUUCUGCCUCCCUGGGCACCAGGCACACACAUGGUGCACAGAUAUUCAUGCAGACAAAACACCGUAUGAAUAAAAUAAAUAAAUGAAUCUUUUAAAAAUAUGAGUUGGGACCCUAAAGUUCCUUUCAAACUUAACAUGAACAAAUAAUUAGAAGCCUCAAUACACCUCCAAUUUCAGGUCUCUUGAAGCACUGCCCUUUAGCCUUUCUCUUCACUUAGGGAAGGACAGAUGCUACCUGAAAUAUCUUUUUAAUUGAUCAUGUCUCUUCAUCCUUUGCCUUGAUUUUAUCAAAAUGACAUGCAAGAAUUCAAAUUCUACUGAAUAUUCAGUUGCAGACUUCUACACUUCUGCCAAAGGAUUUUAUUAGUAACAUGAGUUAACCUUCAAUUUAUUCAAGGUAAUUUUCUUUUUUCUUUUUUCCUCUUUUUUUGUGGUUGUUGAUUGUUUCUCUCUCCUUCCUUCCUUCCUUUCUUCCUUCCUCCUCCUUCUCCUUCUUUUAAAUUCUGUCUUGCGAUGAUGUAACCUGCUACUCACUAUGUAGCACAUAACUCUUGGUGAUCCUCUUACAUCAGCUAAGUUUGCAGGCUUGUGUCACCAUGUCCAGCUUCAAAUAUUAAGAGUCGGAAUGACACUUCCCUGGAGUUCCUGGGUUGCAUUUUGCUAAGAUCUACUCACUGGAGAAAGUAAACAGAAACGUGCAAUUUGCUACACGCACGUUCUCUGUCUCCCCUUAAAUGAUAUCAAUAGCUCCCGUUUAUGAGGGGCUGUGCGCAGGCAGCUAAGCUGCUGAUCCCUAUUUUAACCCUGAUGAAGAUUCUGGGAAGCAGCCAUAUUGUCGAGGAAACAGUUUCAGAGCUGUGGCUCAGAGUCACAGUGAGCAGCUGAGCAAGGGCAAUUUAAGGUCUUGCUGACUCCUGUGUGGCUCAGAGGCUGACCUGUCACUCUUAUAAAUAACCUGGAGGAGAACAAGGCCAACUGUCUCUGGGCGACACUUGAUCCCCCAUUUAUCCUCUCACUCUGCCAAACUGAAAGACCUUACGGUGAUUAAAUGUUUCUGGCCAGCAAUGCCCUGCCAUUUUGUCGAAAAAUGAUACACUGAUAUCUUUUAUAGUCUCUUUUUGUUAUUGAGACAGGGUCUCAUGAAGUCCAGACCAGUCUUGCAAUUCAUUGUGUAUCCAAGGAUGACCUUUAACUUCUAAUCCCCCUGCCUCCACCUUCUAAAUACCAAAACUAAAGGUGUGCCCAGUUUAUCAAACCAAGGACUUUAUGCAUGCUGGGUGAGCACUCUACUAACUGAACCACAUCUCCAGCCCUGUAAUUGUUUCCAUAAAAAACAAACAUUCUGUACCAGCAUUAGCUCUCUAGAGAGGGGGAUAUGCUGCACAAGCUGCCCCAGUCACUGUAGUUCAUCGAGGAUGUAGUGUGGAGGGUCCAUUCCUUACACUGUCUCUUCCUGGAUGGACAGGACUCUGCCCCAGGGAGGGCCUGUCUCUGAACGUCCAACAGUAAUCAACAAAUGACAAACCACACACGCACACAAAAUACCCCAACAAACAAAAGCAAAGCAAAGGUAAAUGAAAUAAACAGGACUGGCGAGAUGCUCCGUUGGUAAAGGGGGUUACUGCUAAAGCUGACAAUCUGAUACCUGGCACCCCCGUGGUGGAGGGAGAGAACCAGUCCAAGAUUGUCCUCUGAAUCCCUUUUUUUUUUUUUUCUCGACAGGGCUUCUCUGUGUAGUUUUGGUGCCUGUCCUGGAACUCACUCUGUAGACCAGGCUGGCCUCGAACUCUCAGAGAUCCGCCACCACUACCCAGCUUGUUCUCUGAAUUCUAUGCUCAUGUACACACACACACACACACACACACACACACACACACACACACACACACACACAAAUAAUAAUAAUAAUAGUAAAUGUAAUUAAAAACAACAAACUCGCAGCCCCACCGAGUUUAAACGACUAACGGGCACAUCUUUAUGUCUCCGUGCUCCAGUCUCUGCUGAGGCAGAGAGAAUGGUGGCUGUGAGGAGAAGAAAAAUGUUGGUUGCCAUUUUCCUCAGGGAGGGAGGAGCAAAGAAAUCCCUUCUCAAGGAUGAAGGACGUUUGGUUGUAAGAGAAGCAUGCUGAGCUCGCAGCAGUUUUGGUCAGACUCUUUUUUUUUUUUUGA